CAGUCGCCGCGGGAAUACGAAGGGGGCUAGCGUUGUUCGGAAUUACUGGGCGUAAAGCGCACGUAGGCGGAUCGAUCAGUCAGGGGUGAAAUCCCAGGGCUCAACCCUGGAACUGCCUUUGAUACUGUCGAUCUGGAGUAUGGAAGAGGUGAGUGGAAUUCCGAGUGUAGAGGUGAAAUUCGUAGAUAUUCGGAGGAACACCAGUGGCGAAGGCGGCUCACUGGUCCAUUACUGACGCUGAGGUGCGAAAGCGUGGGGAGCAAACAGGAUUAGAUACCCCAGUAGUCCCUGUCUCUUAUAC
rnacentral:rRNA from 1 species